rnacentral:rRNA from 1 species
UCAGCAGCCGCGGUAAUACAUAGGSUUCAAGCGUUGUCCGGAUUUAUUGGGCGUAAAGAGUUCGUAGGCGGUCGAGUAARUUGGGUGUGAAAAUUCUGGGCUCAACCCAGAAACGCCACCCGAUACUGCUUAACUUGAGUUCGAUAGGGGAGUGGGGAAUUCCUAGUGUAGCGGUGAAAUGCGCAGAUAUUAGGAGGAACACCGGUGGCGAAGGCGCCACUCUGGAUCGAUACUGACGCUGAGGAACGAAAGCAUGGGUAGCAAACMGGAUUAGAUACCCUGGUAGUCCAUGCCGUAAACGGUGGGCACUAGGUGUGGGAUUCUAUUAACGAAUUCCGCGCCGUCGCUAACGCAUUAAGUGCCCCGCCUGGGGAGUACGGYCGCAARACUAAAACUCAAAGGAAUUGACGG